UUUCCGUAGGUGAACCUGCGGAAGGAUCAUUAUCGUACAAAAUGUGAGGGGCAUGCGAGGGCUGUCGCUGACCCAAAAGUCGUGCACGCCCGAGUGUGUCCUCUUGCAUAAUAAUCCAUCUCACCCUUUGUGCAUCACCGCGUGGGCACCCUUCGGGAUCAUCUCGGGGGGGGGCUCGCGUUUUCACACAAACCCCCCUUUUAAAAGUGUAGAAUGACCACAUUUAUGCAAUCAAUACAACUUUCAACAACGGAUCUCUUGGCUCUCGCAUCGAUGAAGACCGCAGC
rnacentral:misc_RNA from 1 species